AUUGAACGCUGGCGGAAUGCUUUACACAUGCAAGUCGAACGGCAGCACGGGGCAACCUGGUGGCGAGUGGCGAACGGGUGAGUAAUACAUCGGAACGUGCCCAAUCGUGGGGGAUAACGUAGCGAACGUUACGCUAAUACCGCAUACGAUCUACGGAUGAAAGCGGGGGAUCGCAAGACCUCGCCCGAAUGGAGCGGCCGAUGUCAGAUUAGGUGGUUGGUGGGGUAAAGGCUCACCAAGCCGACGAUCUGUAGCUGGUCUGAGAGGACGAGCAGCCACACUGGGACUGAGACACGGCCCAGACUCCUACGGGAGGCAGCAGUGGGGAAUUUUGGACAAUGGGCGCAAGCCUGAUCCAGCCAUUCCGCGUGCAGGAUGAAGGCCUUCGGGUUGUAAACUGCUUUUGUACGGAACGAAACGGCUCUCUCUAAUACAGGGGGCUAAUGACGGUACCGUAAGAAUAAGCACCGGCUAACUACGUGCCAGCAGCCGCCGUAA
rnacentral:rRNA from 1 species